CCGGACUGAAGAUGUUAGACCCAAUGAAGGCGAUUUCGCAUGAUGAUCUGGUGAAAUUGCUGAAACUUUGUUGGGAAUGGCGCCAGGACCCAAAUUUGGUGAUGCAAUUUGGCAACGUGGAAGCUGAGAUUGAAUUCUUCGCUUCCCUCGUGAAAGCUGAUGGUUGGCUGAAAGGAGAUCACAUUGAUUUGGGGUUGUAUCUCAUCCGGAAGCGACAAC